GCCCACAUAGCUCAGGAGGUAGAGCACGUCCAUGGUAAGGACGGGGUCAUCAGUUCGAUUCUGGUUGUGGGCACCA
rnacentral:tRNA from 1 species